CACACCUUUAAAACCCUAGCCUUAGGAGUAAGGCAAAAGCUGGAACCUGGAACAGCAAUCUUCCAAAGCUGUAUUUUAUCAGAGAAAACGAUGAAAAUUUAAUGAGGAGAAAAAAGAUACUUAAUGGCUGUAGGUAGUGUAAUUUCAGCCAUAAAAAUGGGAUCGUCUUGUAAGGCACUGUGCUGUGGCCUUUCAAAUCAAUGCUAACACUGAUAACAGCCUCAGUGGUGGGAGGGUGAAGGUCUACAAGCUGUCGAGCAGAAGUCCCAGCCUGGUGGCAUGUGGAAGGUCCAUAACUCAGCCUGAUGGACUGCUUAGCUGACACCAAUUGAGGCAAAUGGACAAAAGUGAGCAUUUUGAUUUGGGAUCCAUGAAAGAAAGGGAUAAGUGAAGUGAAUUUGGACUCGCCGGACGAAGGAAGGGGAGAAGCAGCAUGAAAACCUGCAAGGAAACAAAAAGCUUCCUACACUUCUGGCUCAGGAUUUUGAUGCUCGAGGAGGAGACUUCUAUCUGCCACCCACACGCGAGGCUUAGGCUCGGAGGCUCAGACGCUUGGCUGCUGCAGCGCAGCCCUUCUGGCUGUGCCUUUCAUGUCCUACGAGUGAUGGGCAAAGGACCAGAGGAAUCUCCUGAGGUUAAAUAAAUGGAAAUUUGCAGCAUGGGAAGCCGCAGCCACCAGCACCUCUGAAUCCUCCCAUAGAAGUCAGGUGCCAGGCCAGGGGUUCCCCUCUGCCCUUUCAGUCCCCCUUUUCUGGCUGCAAGCCCAGCUGGCUGUGCAUAGGCAGAGGAAGAGGAAUUUGGCUGCAGGUUUCCUCGUGCUGCUCUCAGCACUGAGAUGGAUGCAUUCUCCAGCCUCCUGCCUUCCAGGACCUGCCUUAGCACAGGUAGCAGAGCCUGAGCCAUUACUCAUCAUCUGCUGCUCAGCGGUGAAGAAUGGAGGUCACUUCCCUGCUGACAGGGCUCGGAGAGAGGAGGUCUUUCUCCUGCCCUCGUCCUGGGUGGGGGCACGUCACCCAGCCCAGCCUGGCUGCUUUGCUUAAAGGACUUCUGCCUGCCCAAAAGCCACGUGCACUCCGAAUGGCGCCCCUGUUGCUCUCCAAACCCCUUCACCUCCUCAGCUGGUGCAGAAGGAAAAGAGCCAGGUGGAAGCGGUGGAUGUGCCUGAUAGGACAGGGGCAUCCCAACACAUGUCUGUGUGAGAUACUGAGGGAUGGGAAGGAAAAAGCCGGGGCUGAGCCCUGCCUCUCAUACACAGAUCCUCCUGCCUAGAGCCUCCAUGUGAAUCCCAUGGCUUGUUGGGGAGCUCGGGAGCCUCCUUAGCCCACCCUGCCUGCAGAGGAGCUCACCCGAUGUCCCUCUGGUGCUAGCAUCAGCCCCACUGCCAGCAGCCAGAUGUAUUUCUUUGUAAUAUAAGUCAUGGAGGGUCUAAAAUGACUGCAGCUGCUAUUGCAUUAAAAAAAAAAAAAAAUGCCUGCUACCUCUGGGGUUUUGACGUUAGAUGUUCUUUUCAGUCUCUCCUUAGCUGACAGCUGUGGACAUGGUCUCAUGUCCACUGCAGAAACAAAAGCAACCUUUAAUCCUGGUAAGCCAGCCUGAGCAACCUCCCUCGCAGCCCCUCCUGGUCUGUGGGUGUUCAUUUGUCCUGGUUUUCCUCUUUGUCCAUGACCUUGGGCAAUCCCUUUGCUCCCUCCUGCACUUUGCUGUGUAACAGUGGGUUGGAACUCGCAGAGGUGCAAGCAGUGACACCAUGGGCACUGUGCAUGGGGGUCUGGGCACCAAUCCCCCCCUGCACCCCAUGUUCUUGGGCCCACCAGAGCCACCCACCCCUGGGCUGCACGAGCAUAGCUGCUGCAUCCUGCAGCCCCAACCGCAGGUGCCACGCACUAAUUCCUGAUCAGCUUUUAAUGAUCCCAAACCCCUGCACUGGCUCAGGCGACAGCUAAAUUUAUCCCAAGGUUAGGGUGACUCUGCUGUACCAAAAUCUAUUUAAAGUCAAAGCAAGCACCUCAUAAUAACAAGUUAUUAUACAACUCUAGAGACUAGGCAGCUUCCCAUAUUCUUUUUUUUUUUUUUUUUAAUGUAAAAGGUAACAUAUUUUCAU